rnacentral:rRNA from 1 species
GACGAACGCUGGCGGCGUGCUUAACACAUGCAAGUCGAACGGUGAACCCCUUCGGGGGGAGUCAGUGGCGAACGGGUGAGUAACACGUGAGCAACCUGCCCCUGACUCUGGGAUAACCCCGGGAAACCGGAGCUAAUACCGGAUAUGACACCUUCGGGCAUCCGAUGGGUGUGGAAAGAUUUAUCGGUUGGGGAUGGGCUCGCGGCCUAUCAGCUUGUUGGUGGGGUGAUGGCCUACCAAGGCGACGACGGGUAGCCGGCCUGAGAGGGCGACCGGCCACACUGGGACUGAGACACGGCCCAGACUCCUACGGGAGGCAGCAGUGGGGAAUAUUGCACAAUGGGCGAAAGCCUGACGCAGCGACGCCGCGUGAGGGAUGAAGGCCUU